rnacentral:pre_miRNA from 1 species
UAAACCACCAAAGUGGUUGUGAAAAUGUUUAUUGUUUGUAAUUCAUAUCACAGCCAGCUUUGGUGAGUUUAG